rnacentral:lncRNA from 1 species
GGCGCCCCCGAGUGGGUGUGGUCACGUUGCCCAGCAAUGGGCGGUGAUUGGCCCUGGGUGGUUCAUUCGCAGCUCGUGCGUCACGACGCCGCCAGCUGAUCGGAGACUGGAGCCGGUGUGUGCUGGGCGCUGGGAAGAGACAGAGCGGUCGGCCGUGCGGACAGGUCGCAGUGAUUUUGCUCCUCUGUCCACAGCAACCCCCGCACCCAGCAUCAGGAACCUGUGCCUCCCACACCCUCACCUGGCUGAGCCGCAGUAGUUCUUCAGUGGCAAGCUUUAUGUCCUGACCCAGCUAAAGCUGCCAGUUGAAGAACUGUUGCCCUCUGCCCCUGGCUUCGUGGAGGAAGAGGAGAAGCAGCAGCUUUGCCUAUCAUCCGGAAGGUGACAGAACUGGGGUGGGAAGGUCUGGACAGCUGGGGUGAUGGCUUUAUGGGAGGGAAACCCUGGUCCUCUGGGGAGCCCUUACCCCCACUGGCCCAGUGAAAGAUUUAGGUUAAAGGCACUGUCUAUAAAUUGGGGAAUAGGUGACUCCACCUCCCCAAGAUUAGUUGAUGGUGUCCCUCCAGCACUGGGUACAUGGCUCUGCUGUCCUCAUCCAACAUGGAGCCUCAGAGGUGAGAAAGGGCAGCCUGGAAGCAACAGAGGCAGGCACAAGACAGUGGAGGACCUGGCCUGGAACCACAAGGGCCUAUCCGGACAUUGGUCAGAGAGGCACGUAGAAGCCUGGAGAACACCAGGAAAGAGAGCAGCCAGCCAGCCUCAGUGAAAGACACGUGCUUCCAGCCAUCUCCUCUCAGGACCUGCCUUCCUGGGAGAUGAAGGGCCUCCAGGAAGUAUGGUCCCAUCUCUACCCUGCAGUUUCUAUAAACAGCCUCAAGGAGCAUGAGCCACCUCUGAAAGGAAAUACACAGCAAAUUCAAAAAGAGAUUCAAAUGUGUAACACUGUGGGAAAACAUAUCUAUGACUGGGGUUGUAGCUCAGUUGGUAGGUUUGCUUAACAUGCACCAAGCCCUGGUUCUGUCUUCUGCAUUGCAUAAAACUGAACAGGUUGGCCCAGGUCUGCAAUCCCGGCACUCUGGAGGUGGUGGCAAAGGAGCCUACAUUCAAGGUAAUCCUCUGCUAUACAAUGAGUUCUGAGCCAGCCUGGGCUAUAUGAGACUGUCUCAAAAAAUAAAACAAAAUAAAAUAAAGCAUUGGUUAGUAAUUCAAAGAAAGCAGAUGUGGCUGAAACCGUUUUCCCUGAUCAUAAUACAACAAGCAAAUGAAAGCCAGAAGAAGGCUCCUGUGCCUUGUGUGUGGCAGUACCAACCAUUGUGAGAGAUGCCUUUGGACCUGGUAGUUUGCUGUCUUAGAAAUGUAUCCUAAAAUAAGGAUUUGGUUAUAAAAUGUUCAUCUCAGGGUUGUAAUAGAGAAAAAUGGAACGCAGCUGUUUGUUUGGAAGUCCAUUCCUUUUCUGCUGUCAUGAAAAUGUAUAGCUAGGGCUUGCCUAAGUAAAUUAUAUUCAUCUGAUGGUGGUGUUCUGUGCAGCCAUCCAAAGUCUUACAGAAGAAAAAUUGAGUGGAAAUAUAAAUAUUGAAUACUAAAAAGAUUAUAAAAGUAUGAGUUUGUGACUGUUUUUAAAAUAUGAACACAUACUUGUAAUAUAUUUUUUUAAAAACCAUCCAAUUGAGUGGAAAUAUAAAUACUGAAUACUAAAAAGAUUAUGAAAAGUAUGAGUUUGUGACUGUUUUUAAAAUAUGAAUGCAUACUUGUAAUAUAUUUUUUAAAAAAACACUGAAAGUGGAUUCAAAAUGUUAAGAAUGGUUGUUUUUGUAUGGUGGGAUAGUACAAUUGUGAAUUUUCCCCUUGUUUUUUCUGUCUUUCUAAUUUUUAAAUAUUGUGCAUUGCUUUCAUAUGUUAAAUAAAAUACAAAAGACAAAUAAAU